rnacentral:rRNA from 6 species
UUAAAUUGAAGAGUUUGAUCAUGGCUCAGAUUGAACGCUGGCGGCAGGCCUAACACAUGCAAGUCGAACGGUAACAGGAAUCAGCUUGCUGAUUCGCUGACGAGUGGCGGACGGGUGAGUAAUGUCUGGGAAACUGCCUGAUGGAGGGGGAUAACUACUGGAAACGGUAGCUAAUACCGCAUAAUGUCGCAAGACCAAAGAGGGGGACCUUCGGGCCUCUUGCCAUCGGAUGUGCCCAGAUGGGAUUAGCUUGUUGGUGGGGUAACGGCUCACCAAGGCGACGAUCCCUAGCUGGUCUGAGAGGAUGACCAGCCACACUGGAACUGAGACACGGUCCAGACUCCUACGGGAGGCAGCAGUGGGGAAUAUUGCACAAUGGGCGCAAGCCUGAUGCAGCCAUGCCGCGUGUAUGAAGAAGGCCUUCGGGUUGUAAAGUACUUUCAGCGGGGAGGAAGGGAGUAAAGUUAAUACCUUUGCUCAUUGACGUUACCCGCAGAAGAAGCACCGGCUAACUCCGUGCCAGCAGCCGCGGUAAUACGGAGGGUGCAAGCGUUAAUCGGAAUUACUGGGCGUAAAGCGCACGCAGGCGGUUUGUUAAGUCAGAUGUGAAAUCCCCGGGCUCAACCUGGGAACUGCAUCUGAUACUGGCAAGCUUGAGUCUCGUAGAGGGGGGUAGAAUUCCAGGUGUAGCGGUGAAAUGCGUAGAGAUCUGGAGGAAUACCGGUGGCGAAGGCGGCCCCCUGGACGAAGACUGACGCUCAGGUGCGAAAGCGUGGGGAGCAAACAGGAUUAGAUACCCUGGUAGUCCACGCCGUAAACGAUGUCGACUUGGAGGUUGUGCCCUUGAGGCGUGGCUUCCGGAGCUAACGCGUUAAGUCGACCGCCUGGGGAGUACGGCCGCAAGGUUAAAACUCAAAUGAAUUGACGGGGGCCCGCACAAGCGGUGGAGCAUGUGGUUUAAUUCGAUGCAACGCGAAGAACCUUACCUGGUCUUGACAUCCACGGAAGUUUUCAGAGAUGAGAAUGUGCCUUCGGGAACCGUGAGACAGGUGCUGCAUGGCUGUCGUCAGCUCGUGUUGUGAAAUGUUGGGUUAAGUCCCGCAACGAGCGCAACCCUUAUCCUUUGUUGCCAGCGGUCCGGCCGGGAACUCAAAGGAGACUGCCAGUGAUAAACUGGAGGAAGGUGGGGACGACGUCAAGUCAUCAUGGCCCUUACGACCAGGGCUACACACGUGCUACAAUGGCGCAUACAAAGAGAAGCGACCUCGCGAGAGCAAGCGGACCUCAUAAAGUGCGUCGUAGUCCGGAUUGGAGUCUGCAACUCGACUCCAUGAAGUCGGAAUCGCUAGUAAUCGUGGAUCAGAAUGCCACGGUGAAUACGUUCCCGGGCCUUGUACACACCGCCCGUCACACCAUGGGAGUGGGUUGCAAAAGAAGUAGGUAGCUUAACCUUCGGGAGGGCGCUUACCACUUUGUGAUUCAUGACUGGGGUGAAGUCGUAACAAGGUAACCGUAGGGGAACCUGCGGUUGGAUCACCUCCUUACCUUAAAGAAGC